CAAUAAUCUUGCAACUUGAAGGAUUAAUCCAAGUAAAAAUCAAGAAUUGAGCCUAGAAUCAUAAUCCUCAUCACAAGAGGAUUGUAAGGACAAGAUACCGGGACGUCGAGCGGACAAGCCGGUGGUGAUUCUCGUUUGAAGGGCGUGCGCCAAGGUAAUUAGGUGGUCACAUGGAUGGCGAUCAAGCGACUUGAUGAUGAACCGAACACUCCAC